rnacentral:rRNA from 1 species
CCUGGGGAGUACGGCCGCAAGGUUAAAACUCAAAUGAAUUGACGGGGGCCCGCACAAGCGGUGGAGCAUGUGGUUUAAUUCGAUGCAACGCGAAGAACCUUACCUGGUCUUGACAUCCACAGAACUUUCCAGAGAUGGAUUGGUGCCUUCGGGAACUGUGAGACAGGUGCUGCAUGGCUGUCGUCAGCUCGUGUUGUGAAAUGUUGGGUUAAGUCCCGCAACGAGCGCAACCCUUAUCCUUUGUUGCCAGCGGUU